UUAUAUUUUGUGGGCAAUGUUUGACCUCUGAAUUGUGUCAGGACCGGAAGGUAGCAGCACUAAGGUUGCUCGGGCAUGUGCCCUUUAUUAGACAAUUAAC
rnacentral:SRP_RNA from 1 species